rnacentral:rRNA from 1 species
CCCUUAGAUGUUCUGGGCCGCACGCGCGCUACACUGGCGAAUUCAACGAGUUUAUAACCUUUGCUGGGAGGCAUGGGUAAUCUUGUGAACGUUCGUCGUGAUGGGGAUAGAUUAUUGCAAUUGUUAAUCUUCAACGAGGAAUUCCUAGUAAACGCAAGUCAUCAGCUUGCAUUGAUUACGUCCCUGCCCUUUGUACACACCGCCCGUCGCACCUACCGAUUGAAUGGUCCGGUGAAUUCUUCGGACUGCGGCUUUGACUCGAUUUCGGUCGAGGCGUUGCUGCGGGAAGUUGAUUAAACCUUACCAUUUAGAGGAAGGUGAAGUCGUAACA